CGCGGUAAGACGGAGGAUGCAAGCGUUAUCCGGAAUUAUUGGGCGUAAAGCGUCCGUAGGCGGUUCAUCAAGUCUGUUGUUAAAGACUGGGGCUCAACCCUGGAGUGGCGAUGGAAACUGAUGAACUAGAGUGCGGUAGGGGUAGAGGGAAUUCCUAGUGUAGCGGUGAAAUGCGUAGAUAUUAGGAAGAACACCAGUGGCGAAGGCGCUCUACUGGGCCGCAACUGACGCUGAUGGACGAAAGCUAGGGGAGCGAAAGGGAUUAGAUACCCCUGUAGU
rnacentral:rRNA from 1 species